UAAUCGAGCAGAGACUGUGUUUGAUGAUGAUGCAAAGAACAGGAGAAUCAUCAACGUUAUGAACCGAAUCACUACAUACAUCUUCGUUCGGUCUUAUUGUCUAAUAAAACUCUCUUUUUUUCUCUUCAAUUAAUAAACUUUUUGAUUAAGUUUUAUAAGCUUUGUAAGAUGUAAUGUCUGUAUUUAAAUGUAGAGAAAGUGCACUAAUUAGUUUAUGUCGUUAAUCUUUAAUUUCAGGACUAAAAUCUCUUAUACCCUUUGACUCUUUCUUCUAUUCUCUUAAGGGUUUGACCAAAAGGAAAAAAAAAAUUUAAUUAAAAAAAUCGAAAAUUGGUUAAAAUACAAACUUAUCCUCACUAAAAUAAAACAAUUACAGAUCCAACCACCCUAUAUCCGAAAAUCCAUAUCACUAUCGGAUAUCCAUCGGAUCCUUUACCUCUUUGUCUUCCUCUUCAUCGUUUCAAAAAUCAAAAGUCCCCCAAAAUCUAAAUGUUUGAAAAAUCUGAAAAUCACAAGCAGUUCGAGUAUAACUAAGGACAACCCGAGAUAGGGUAAGUCAAAACCUUCAAUUAUUUGGGUAUUUUAUGUUAGAUCCGCUUGAAUGUUAUCGAUUUAGGUGUUCUCGAU
rnacentral:lncRNA from 1 species